CAUAGCUCAANNUANAAAUUCUUAUUAUNAAAUUAAAAAAUCUAAAUUUAUUUUUCCUAUUGAGUUAAUCUAUUUAUAGAUGUAUUAAUGUUAAAAUGAGUAACGAGAAAUAUCUCUAUAUGCACACAUAAAUCAGAACGAAAUAAUCACUGAUAGUUAACAAAUUUUUCAUAAAUAUUCAAGAAAUAUAUAUUAAUAUUGUUAAACCAACACAGGGGCAUAAAAGAAAGAUUAAAAAUUAAAAAAGGAACUCGGCAACCAAAGAUUUCGCCUGUUUACCAAAAACAUCGCCUCUUGCAAUUAAAGUAUAAAAGGUCCUGCCUGCCCAGUGAUAUUAAUUAAACGGCCGCGGUAUU
rnacentral:rRNA from 1 species